CCCCCCCCCACCAACACGUCAGGUCAAGGUGCAACUAACGGAACGGAAAGCAAUGGGCUACAAUUUCUACCAUAGAACACACAAAAACUGCAUGAAACUCAGCCACCAAGGCGGAUUUAGUAGUAAAAAGAAAACAGAAAGUUCUUUUUAACCCGGCCCUGGGACGCGUACACACCGCCCGUCACCCUCCUCACAUCUACUAAGAGGAGGCAAGUCGUAACACGGUAAGCAUACUGGAAAGUGCGCUUGGACAACAAAAUGUAGCUUAACCAAAGCCCCUCGCUUACACCGAGAUAGACGUCAAUAACCUCUGACCAUUCUGAGCCUAAAUCCUAGCCCCCAUCAACCUAAACAACAAAUAAACAAAUAACAAA
rnacentral:rRNA from 1 species